GGGCCGCGGGGAUGGCCCGGGAGCUGCGGGCACCGGAGCUGCCUCGGCCGUGCGGGGCCCGGGGCGUCGCUCCGGGGCGGAUUCUGUAAGGGGCAAAAUGAACGUUUCGGGGGUAAAAUGCGAGUUGAUGUGCGGGGCAGAGAAUGAGUGUUCUGGGGUCAAAGUGAGGCGAUCGGUAGCGGAGGUGGAAGGAGUCCCAGACGAGAUACAAUGGAUUGUAAAAGCCACGUGUGGAAUCGGAGCCGUUCCAGCAGCUUUCCUUCCCACGGCUCUCCAGGUGUUUUCCUUUGUUUUCUGGCUUUCUGGAAUGAACGCAGCUUUGGAGAGUUCGGGGUUUCCCUUACCUGUGCAGAGAUGUCAGGAUGUGGAGGCGCUCCCGUUUCCCUGGAGGAGGAUGCCCUGGAGAACGUCCUUAGCUGGGAUUUGGCUCCUGUGGAGCCUCCCAGGAUGAGCCGUGCUGGGCUGGGAUCCUGUGCUGGUCCUUGCACCACCCUCACUCCACGGACUCCGGGAGCUGCCGGGGUCUCUUUCUGUACCUGCCCAGCGGGGUCAGACCCCAUGGGCCCUCCGAGUGCAGGAUUUCUCCCUGCUCUCCCUCCAAGUGGAUUUACCUCUUGCUCGCGUUGAAAUCAAAGUCCCACUUCAAAAGCAGAAUUGAUUUCUCAAGAAAAAUGUGCCACAAAAGCCAUUUUUUGUCCUUUGUUUCUCAAAUUUCUGCUCCUGGUUUUUUCUGUUGCAGCAAUAAUGAAUGUCACAGGAAUAAAAAUGGGAAAGGGGAAUAAAUAGAAUGUGACUGCAAAUGCUGACUUUUGUAAAUUGGGCAGGAAGCAGUCAAAAUGUUCGGGCCACUGUAGAAAUUGCUUCCUCCUGCUGCUGAGGACUCCAGGACGGUGUAGAUAAAUGUAGACGAGAGAUCUCUGAAGUUAGGUUUUAGAAGAUGAGGUUUAUUGUAAGGGAUGUGGGGGCCUUGCUCUGAGCUGCCAGGCUGCAGCUCGUGGCAAGGCCUAGGAAAGUGGAGGAAGGGAGAGGUAGGGAGAGGAAAUUCCAAGAGAGGAAAGUCCUUGGGGAAGGGUGCAAGCAAAGAGAGCAAAGAGCAAAGAGAGCGAGCCACCUUCGCAGCCCCCUGAUCAGGGGUCUUCAAGGUGGGCUGGAACAGACUUGUGCCAAUGGGGUUACAGAUACCUGAUACUUCAGGGGAGGGGUACAGGUGUGGGAUGAACCAUACAUUGGGCGUGAGACAGAACAUUCCAUUUGACCUCUGGGUCUGGCUGCAGGUAACCUUCAGCUGGUCACAUAACUGUUUUCCCAGACAUCCAGUAUCUAAUACAUCUCAAACAUCAAAACUUACUUUCAAUUCUAUCUCACCUACAGGUUUCUCAUUCUCAGAAUACAGGCAAUCAUAUUUAUAGGGUUUUUUGGCUUCCUCCUCCCCAACAGGCCACAGCAAUAGGAGCGGAGCCAGAGGAAAUCCAGGAACUGCUGAGUUCAGUCCAGGGACACCUUCCACUCUUGCAGGCUGCUCCAAGGCCCAUCCAGCCUGGCCUUGGGCUCUUCCAGGGAUGGAGCAGGCACGAUUUCUCUGGGUUUAUGGGCACAGGAGGAAAUUCCCAGCAGGAACGAGACUUUUCCUUUGCUCUGCCCAGCCCCAGCAGGGCUUUGGGAGGCAGAGGACAUGGGAACAGGAGCUUUGCCCACUGCCUCGGGGGAGUCUCUGAUGUCCCAAAGGCCAGCAGAACAAACGUUUGUGGUUUGACAUCCCGUUGAAAGGAGAUGCCAGGCCAGGGACAGGAAGGAACCGCGGAGCAGGGCUGGCUCCAGGCAGAGGGGUGAGCGUGCAGAGGGUGCCACCAGCCCGUCCCUGCUGCCCAGCUUUGGGAUGAGCAGGCUGGUGACUGUCCCUGCGUUUGCUCUGCAGGAUGAGGAAGCCAACCCUGCCGAGGAGAAAGAUGAGGAGGUGUGGGAGGAUGGAGACAACGGCCACCGAAGGCUGGGGGAGGCACAGCUCCAGGCCCCAGAUGGAGUCCUUCUUUUCCCAAGGGAGGGAAAAGCCAGCAGGAUGUGAACCAGAGGUAGUGCUUUAGGAAAAGCCCUCCAGCCUGCGAAGGUGCUUUUGGCUCCAGACACAUUCCCAGUCCCCAGGAGCAGCAGGACCUGUGCUGUCCCCAGCAGAAUCCUCUGAGGCUGAAACAAAGGCAAGGAACCUUUUGAGAUUGAAAGAGGCAGAGCAAGUUGUCCUGGGAAAGGAAAAUGAAAGAUGGGAGCCACUUAAGCGAGAGGCGCCGAAAAGAAUUGGAGUUUCUUUGGAUUGUCACCGCUCCUAUUUUCAGGGGCUGGUCACCUUGGCCGGGAGUGUCCAAUCCUGCUGAAAAUGCAUUGGAGCAGGAUGUCAUUUCCAUCUUAAUCCUGGGAAAGACUGGGUGACCCCCAGUCACUGGAAGGACUGGGCUGGGCUCCCAGGGCACUAAUUCCAGGUGUUCUGUUUUUAGGAGUAGCACGGGAGCCUUGCCCUUGCCCAGAGGAGAAGCCAGUGCCUCCCUUAGUCCACAAAUCCCCAGGAUGGAAGACAAAGGAGAUAACAGGAAUGUGGAAAUCUCCCACACUGGGAGUUCAUGGUGUUCUGGAUUACCUUUUGGAUUUAUAAUGUUAAAGGGGGGAGUGUGGAGGGGUCUUUCUCUCCUGUUCAUUAUUGUCCCUGUUGCUUUCUCCGUUCCUCUGUGUUGUCAUUAACAUUAAAUGAUUGUAUUUGAAUUGGUUUCCAUUAUUAAACUGUUCUGAUCUCA